GACGAACGCUGGCGGCGUGCCUAACACAUGCAAGUCGAGCGAGUGAAUCUCCUUCGGGAGUGAAGCUAGCGGCGGACGGGUGAGUAACACGUGGGCAACCUGCCUCAUAGAGGGGAAUAGCCUUUCGAAAGGAAGAUUAAUACCGCAUAAGAUUGUAGCUUCGCAUGAAGUAGCAAUUAAAGGAGCAAUCCGCUAUGAGAUGGGCCCGCGGCGCAUUAGCUAGUUGGUGAGGUAACGGCUCACCAAGGCGACGAUGCGUAGCCGACCUGAGAGGGUGAUCGGCCACAUUGGGACUGAGACACGGCCCAGACUCCUACGGGAGGCAGCAGUGGGGAAUAUUGCACAAUGGGGGAAACCCUGAUGCAGCAACGCCGCGUGAGUGAUGACGGCCUUCGGGUUGUAAAGCUCUGUCUUUGGGGACGAUAAUGACGGUACCCAAGGAGGAAGCCACGGCUAACUACGUGCCAGCAGCCGCCGUAACAC
rnacentral:rRNA from 1 species